rnacentral:rRNA from 1 species
AUAAGGUUAAGUGAAUAAGGGCGCACGGUGGAUGCCUUGGCACUAGGAGCCGAUGAAGGACGGGACUAACACCGAUAUGCUUUGGGGAGCUGUACGUAAGCUAUGAUCCAGAGAUUUCCGAAUGGGGAAACCCAACAUCUUUUAUAGGAUGUUACGUUUGCGUGAAUACAUAGCGCAUUCGAGGUAGACGCAGAGAACUGAAACAUCUAAGUACCUGCAGGAAGAGAAAGAAAAUUCGAUUCCCUGAGUAGCGGCGAGCGAAACGGGAAAAGCCCAAACCAAUGAGCUUGCUCAUUGGGGUUGUAGGACUCCAAUAUGGUAGUUCUUUCAGAUAAUCGAAUGACUUGGAAAAGUCAGUCAAAGAGGGUAAAAACCCCGUAGAUGAAAUUUGGAAGGCACCUAGGAGGAUCCUGAGUACGGCGGAACACGAGGAAUUCCGUCGGAAUCCGGGAGGACCAUCUCCCAAGGCUAAAUACUCCCUAGUGACCGAUAGUGAACCAGUACCGUGAGGGAAAGGUGAAAAGCACCCCGGAAGGGGAGUGAAAUAGAACCUGAAACCGUGUGCCUACAACAAGUCAAAGCCCGUUAAUGGGUGAUGGCGUGCCUUUUGUAGAAUGAACCGGCGAGUUACGAUUGCAUGCGAGGUUAAGUCGAAGAGACGGAGCCGCAGCGAAAGCGAGUCUGAAUAGGGCGUUUGAGUAUGUAGUCGUAGACCCGAAACCAUGUGAUCUACCCAUGUCCAGGUUGAAGGUGCGGUAAAACGCACUGGAGGACCGAACCCACGUACGUUGAAAAGUGCGGGGAUGAGGUGUGGGUAGCGGAGAAAUUCCAAACGAACUUGGAGAUAGCUGGUUCUCUCCGAAAUAGCUUUAGGGCUAGCCUCGGAUUUGAGAAUGAUGGAGGUAGAGCACUGUUUGGACUAGGGGCCCAUCUCGGGUUACCGAAUUCAGAUAAACUCCGAAUGCCAUUCAUUCAUAUCCGGGAGUCAGACUGUGAGUGAUAAGAUCCAUAGUCGAAAGGGAAACAGCCCAGACCACCAGCUAAGGUCCCAAAAUAUAUGUUAAGUGGAAAAGGAUGUGGGGUUGCACAGACAACUAGGAUGUUGGCUCAGAAGCAGCCACCAUUUAAAGAGUGCGUAAUAGCUCACUAGUCGAGUGACCCUGCGCCGAAAAUGUACCGGGGCUAAACAUAUUACCGAAGCUGUGGAGUACACCAUGAGGUGUAUUGGUAGGAGAGCGUUCUAAGGGCGUUGAAGGCAGAUCGUGAGGACUGCUGGAGCGCUUAGAAGUGAGAAUGCCGGUAUGAGUAGCGAAAGACAGGUGAGAAUCCUGUCCACCGAAUGACUAAGGUUUCCUGGGGAAGGCUCGUCCGCCCAGGGUUAGUCGGGACCUAAGCCGAGGCCGACAGGCGUAGGCGAUGGACAACAGGUUGAUAUUCCUGUACUCGUUGUUUUUGUUUGAGCAAUGGAGGGACGCAGGAGGCUAAGGAAUGCAGACGAUUGGAAAUGUCUGUCCAAGCAGUAAGUCUUGAUAGGAGUCAAAUGCUUCUGUCUACACGGAUAAGCUGUGAUGGGGAGGGAAAUAAUAGUACCGAAGUUCCUGAUGUCACACUGCCAAGAAAAGCUUCUAGUGAUAAAACAAUGACCCGUACCGCAAACCGACACAGGUAGUCGAGGAGAGAAUCCUAAGGUGAGCGAGAGAACUCUCGUUAAGGAACUCGGCAAAAUGACCCCGUAACUUCGGGAGAAGGGGUGCUGAUCUUCGAUCAGCCGCAGUGAAUAGGCCCAAGCGACUGUUUAUCAAAAACACAGGUCUCUGCAAAAUCGUAAGAUGAAGUAUAGGGGCUGACGCCUGCCCGGUGCUGGAAGGUUAAGAGGAGUGCUUAGCGUAAGCGAAGGUACGAAUUGAAGCCCCAGUAAACGGCGGCCGUAACUAUAACGGUCCUAAGGUAGCGAAAUUCCUUGUCGGGUAAGUUCCGACCCGCACGAAAGGCGUAACGAUUUGGGCACUGUCUCAACGAGAGACUCGGUGAAAUUUUAGUACCUGUGAAGAUGCAGGUUACCCGCGACAGGACGGAAAGACCCCAUGGAGCUUUACUGUAGUUUGAUAUUGAGUGUCUGUACCGCAUGUACAGGAUAGGUAGGAGCCGUAGAAAUCGGAACGCUAGUUUCGAUGGAGGCGCUGGUGGGAUACUACCCCUGCGUUAUGGCCACUCUAACCCGCACCACUGAUCGUGGUGGGAGACAGUGUCAGAUGGGCAGUUUGACUGGGGCGGUCGCCUCCUAAAAGGUAACGGAGGCGCCCAAAGGUUCCCUCAGAAUGGUUGGAAAUCAUUCGAAGAGUGUAAAGGCAGAAGGGAGCUUGACUGCGAGACCAACAAGUCGAGCAGGGACGAAAGUCGGGCUUAGUGAUCCGGUGGUUCCGCAUGGAAGGGCCAUCGCUCAACGGAUAAAAGCUACCCUGGGGAUAACAGGCUUAUCUCCCCCAAGAGUCCACAUCGACGGGGAGGUUUGGCACCUCGAUGUCGGCUCGUCGCAUCCUGGGGCUGUAGUCGGUCCCAAGGGUUGGGCUGUUCGCCCAUUAAAGCGGCACGCGAGCUGGGUUCAGAACGUCGUGAGACAGUUCGGUCCCUAUCCGUCGCGGGCGUUGGAAAUUUGAGAGGAGCUGUCCUUAGUACGAGAGGACCGGGAUGGACUUACCGCUGGUGUACCAGUUGUUCUGCCAAGGGCAUUGCUGGGUAGCUAUGUAGGGAAGGGAUAAACGCUGAAAGCAUCUAAGUGUGAAGCCCACCUCAAGAUGAGAUUUCCCAUUUCUUUAAGAAAGUAAGAUCCCUGAGAGAUGAUCAGGUAGAUAGGUCAGGAGUGGAAGGCCAGUGAUGGUUGGAGCGGACUGAUACUAAUCGAUCGAGGACUUAACCAAA